AUGGCUGGCCAUGGGAGGAAGAAAGCGGCGCCCCCAUCCCAGGUGAUGGACGGACCAGACGGACAAGACCCAAAAUAUGGCGCCCCUCCCCUGCCGAUGGGGCGACCUAAAGCUGCCGCAGCAGCCGUAGCGGCAUCGAACGCUUGGUUGGCUGGGCAUGCUGCCGCUAGAUCCGAUUCUUCCCUUCAAGUUGAUUGGGGAAAUGAUGUUUACCCACCUGGUGGUUUUGUAAAUUAUUUGAACAAUUCAUCGAGCUUCAGUCUUCCACAACAAAUUCCUCCUCCACCAGCCAUGACACAUGGUGCUAAUUUCGCGGCACCGCUGACAUUUGCAUCUCAAAAGAAUCCAAUUACAGCAGUGAAGAAACGAUCCAAACGUGCCCAUGUUGAAAUUGCGGAUGAUGCAGGAGAAGGUAAAACUAUGAAGAGAUUGCCAUGGACAUCAGAGGAGGAUGAUAGAUUGAUGAGUGCUUGGCUCAAGAACUCAAAUGAUCCUAUCGGUGGUAAUUUCAAGAAGAAUGACAAAUAUUGGGGAGAUGUGGUCGCGGACUACAAUAGCAACACCCCCUCAGAUCGCAAAAGACAAGUCAAUCAAGCUAUGAACCGAUGGCAUCGAGUUAACAAAAUGAUAAAUAAUUUCCAUUCCAUCCACGGGGAGAUUAGCGGUGUAUAUGCUAGUGGGCAGUCCAAUCAGCAAUUGAUGGAGAAAGUCCACAAAGCAUAUGAGAACAGACACGGAGGACCAUUUCUUCUGGAAAGUACCUGGCAGGUUGUUCGUCACUAUCCGAAGUGGUCUACGUACAAUGCAGAACUGAAUGGAUUGAAGAAAAUAGAUGUGGCCGACCUGGGGAAGGCAGAGGAUCAUGAGGCAGCUGAUAGUGAUGAUAUCCCACGGCCUCCAGGUACUAAAACAGCUAAAAGAGAUGGGAAUGGCAAUGACAAAAGAAAGUUGAAGUCAGAGGAUUUAGAAGAGCUUGAGAAAUUCUUAGAAGCCCAAAAAGAAGCUACUAAAAGUCGCACGGAUGUCCUUGAGGUUCAAAAGCGUAUUGCAGCCGAUAAACUUGAGUCGUCGAGGCUCAUUCUCCUUGCAGCGAAGGAGAACAAGGAGGCAAAAACAAGAGGGAAAAUGCUAGAACAGUACGGUAAAUUAUUGACACAAGAUAUGGCAGGGAUGACCGAGUUUCAGAAAGCUGAGCAUGCGAUUGCACUUAAAUUGAUGCGGGAGGAGUUAUUCCCCAACGCUCGUCAAUAA
rnacentral:rRNA from 1 species